UACGUAGGGUGCAAGCGUUGUCCGGAAUUAUUGGGCGUAAAGAGCUCGUAGGCGGUCUGUCGCGUCGGGAGUGAAAACCCAGGGCUCAACCCUGGGCCUGCUUCCGAUACGGGCAGACUAGAGGUAUGCAGGGGAGAAUGGAAUUCCUGGUGUAGCGGUGAAAUGCGCAGAUAUCAGGAGGAACACCGGUGGCGAAGGCGGUUCUCUGGGCAUUACCUGACGCUGAGGAGCGAAAGUGUGGGGAGCGAACAGG
rnacentral:rRNA from 1 species